rnacentral:rRNA from 1 species
AUGUUUAAGUAUGAAUAUGUUGUCAGCAAGAUGUUUGAUAGUGAGGCUGAAGGCUAUGAAUUCUACAACAAAUAUGCUCUUGAAAAAUGUUUUAGUGUGAGGAAAAGCUAAGUUGAGUGGGAUGGAUCCAACAAUUACGUAAUUUUAAGGAAAAUUGUGUGUAGUCGUCAAGGGUCUCGCGAAGAGAAGCACAUGAAAAGAAAGAUGGAAGAUAGAAAGAGGAGGCCACGAAGUUUAACUCGUGUUGGGUGUAACGCUAAAUUGGUCACUGCGAGACAGGAGGAAACAGGUCGGUUGUUUGUCAAGGAUUUCAUCGAUCAGCACAGCCAUCCUCUAGCCCCACGGGAUUUUUCUUGUUUGCUGCGUUCGCAUAGACGAAUUAGCGAUGUGCAGAAAGCGGACAUUGCGGACAUGGAAAAAUUUGGGAUCCGCAAAUACCAUAUUAUGGAUAUUUUGUGCAUUCAAUAUGGUGGAUUUGAUAAGGUUGGUUGCAUAAAGAGGGACAUUUAUAAUUUCUGCCAUGCUAAUAAGCACGAGACAAUCAGUGCCGGUGAUGCUAAAACGAUGAUCAUGCACAUGAUGGCAAGGCAAGAGCGAGAUCCGGAUUUUUUCUUCAGGUACUUUGUUGACGACCUUGUCCAUCUGAAGGGACUGUUUUGGGCUGAUAGUCAAUCCCGACUUGACUACGAGGCUUUCGGAGACGUCAUUGUGUUUGAUAGCACAUACAGAACCAGUAAGUACAACAUGCCAUUCGUGCCAUUUGUCGGGUUGAAUCACCACCGCAACACUGUUAUUUUUGAAUGUGGUAUAAUUUCCCAUAAAACAAGCCAGGCAUACGAGUGGAUGUUGCGGACCUUUUCUGAUUGCAUGGCACAGAAGCAUCUGAUAUCUGUGAUCACAGACGGGGACCUUGCAAUGUAGAGAGCAAUCAGGAUGGUCUGGCCUGACUCAAACCAUAGACUAUGUAUAUGGCACAUUCAACAGAACAUUGUACGCCAUCUGCAUGAUGACGACGUGAAAGAGGAAUUCAGAUCUUUCAUAUAUGAUACUUCUUCCAUUGAAGGGCAUGGGAUAAAAUAGUUACUAUUCUUACAACGGAAUAAAGUAAGCAGUGAGGACUCUUGGCUGCAUCAGAUGUAUCAGAUGAGAAAGUUGUGGUGUUUUCCAUAUCUUGAGGGGCAUUGUUUCCUAGGAUUGAGCAGCAAUCAAAGGAGUGACAGCUUGAACUCCGUUCUACAUACACAUCUUGAGGGUAACAUGUCGUUGUUUGAAAUGCUAGAGCACUAUGAACGUUGCCUUGCAUCGCGACGGAUUAACAAAGCUCUCAUGAUCGAAGCCUUGCAGUCCCAUCCAUUUACAAAGGAAAAUGCUUUGCUGCUUGAGAAACACGCCGCAACAGUUUUCACUCCUACUGUCUUUAAGAUUGUCUUAUGGAGCAUAGAAGCUGUCAACAAAUGUCAAAUCAGAGAGAUACUUGAUGGAUCAGAAGUUUCCACCUAUGUUGUGUCCAAGCAGGCAAGAAUGGAUAAAAAGUUUGGAGUGCGCAUUGAGGAGCAAGGAGGUCUUUUGCAUAGGGUCAGUUGUUAUUGCCGUAAGCUGGAAUGCGCAGGCACACCAUGUUCCCACAUUUUUUACAUAUUGGGGAUUUUAAAGCAAACAGUUCUGCCUAGUUGUUGUGUCCCCACUAGGUUGACUAUGAAUGCAAAAUGUGCAUACACACCGACUAGAAAAAACUAGAUGUAUAACUAUUCGGCAAGCCUGCAAAGGUACCGCGAGUUGCUGAAUUGUAGUCACGCCGCAAGUUUCAAGGCAUGCCACUCUGAUGAGGAUUAUCAGCGUCUAAAGAUGCUUUUGGAAGCACAACAUCAUGGCAAGCAAUCAAGUAUUGAAUAA